GCAGACUCACUCUGCCCCUCGCUGCCUCCUACAGCCCGGUGCUUUUGUGUCUGCUAGAUCAACACAGAGCGUCAUGAACGCUGGCUUCAUUGUAGGCAAGUGUCUGUAUGUUCUGGAACAUGU
rnacentral:snoRNA from 1 species